GAUGAAGAACGCAGCGAAAUGCGAUAAGUAAUGUGAAUUGCAGAAUUCAGUGAAUCAUCGAAUCUUUGAACGCACAUUGCGCCCGUUAGCAUUCUAGCGGGCAUGCCUGUCCGAGCGUCAUUUCAACCCUCAGGGUCCCCGUUCCGGCGGGGAACCUGGUGUUGGGGAUCGGCCCGCCCCGUGCGGCGCCGUCCCCCAAAUUCAGUGGCGGUCUCGCUGCAGCCUCCCCUGCGUAGUAGUUACAACCUCGCAUCGGAGCUCAGCGCGGCCACGCCGUAAAACCCCCGACUUUCUGAACGUUGACCUCGGAUCAGGUAGGAAUACCCGCUGAACUUAAGCAUAUCAAAAGCGGAGG
rnacentral:misc_RNA from 1 species